rnacentral:rRNA from 1 species
GAUGAACGCUGGCGGCGUGCCUAAUACAUGCAAGUCGAGCGAACGGACGAGAAGCUUGCUUCUCUGAUGUUAGCGGCGGACGGGUGAGUAACACGUGGAUAACCUACCUAUAAGACUGGGAUAACUUCGGGAAACCGUAGCUAAUACCGGAUAAUAUUUUGAACCGCAUGGUUCAAAAGUGAAAGACGGUCUUGCUGUCACUUAGAGAUGGAUCCGCGCUGCAUUAGCUAGUUGGUAAGGUAACGGCUUACCAAGGCAACGAUGCAUAGCCGACCUGAGAGGGUGAUCGGCCACACUGGAACUGAGACACGGUCCAGACUCCUACGGGAGGCAGCAGUAGGGAAUCUUCCGCAAUGGGCGAAAGCCUGACGGAGCAACGCCGCGUGAGUGAUGAAGGUCUUCGGAUCGUAAAACUCUGUUAUUAGGGAAGAACAUAUGUGUACGUAACUGUGCACAUCUUGACGGUACCUAAUCAGAAAGCCACGGCUAACUACGUG